GCCGCGGUAAAACCAGCACCUCAAGUUGUCAGGAGGAUUAUUGGGCCUAAAGCAUCCGUAGCCGGCUCUGUUAGUUUUCGGUUAAAUCUAUAUGCUCAACAUAUGGGCUGUCGGAAAUACUGUAGAGCUAGGGAAUGGGAGAGGUAGACGGUACUCGGUAGGAAGGGGUAAAAUCCUUUGAUCUAUCGAUGACCACCUGUGGCGAAGGCGGUCUACCAGAACAUGUUCGACGGUGAGGGAUGAAAGCUGGGGGAGCAAACCGGAUUAGAUACCCGGGUAGUCCCAGCUGUAAACGAUGCAGACUAGAUGAUGCAUUAGCAUAUAGCUAGUGCAGUGUCUCAGGGAAGCCGUUAAGUCUGCCGCCUGGGAAGUACGUACGCAAGUAUGAAACUUAAAGGAAUUGGCGGGGGAGCACGGUCAUAGCUGUUUCCUAA
rnacentral:rRNA from 1 species